GCUCUUUCCAUUGCAGCUAGACAUUUCAUAAAUAGAUAAUUCUCUAAUUGAUCCAGCCAAUCCUACUUUGCAUACCCUGCCAAACUAGCACAGACUCUUUAGUGCAGUCCUGAUUUCUGUAUUAAUGAAUUGAGAAGAUGACAUCAGGCUCUUAGGCCACCUGAAAUGUAAAGAUCUGGAGAAAACCUCAGGUGAUGUGUGUAAAGCACAGCAAAAAGCAAGACUGACACGCUGUGGUGCAAGAGCAGAAAGCCAUUUUUAAAAUGCUGGCGUUUCUCCCUGACGUCAGUAUUUACUGGGCAUGAGCCUGUGCCCUCUUGUAUUGGUGGUCCCCAGGUGCUCUUCAGCACAUGGAUUGAUGAGGGAAGGAUCUGUCCUUGGCUAACCUCUGUGAACACUGCAGUGGGGUUAACUCCAGAUUUACACCGUGCAACUGACAGCUUAAGUAGUCUCAGUUGGAGGCUUUCAAAAGAAAUUCUGGCUUGGUACUUCAAAGAAAUAUGAAGUAGGAUGGGCAGAGAAGUCUUCAACUUUCAGAAGGGACAACCAUCCCAACAGGUUUGUUUUCAUCUGAAGGAGAAUGGACUAAUUUAUAUUGUUAGCAGAAAGUACUGUCAGAAUGUAAUCUGAGAAACAGCACAGUUACAUGAUCAGGAUUUCCUGAUAACUCUUCCACAGAUACACAUGAGAAAGCAUAAGCUUCCACCUCACACCUUCGUGUGCCUCCCCCAAAGGCCUGAUGCUCCAAAUAUCUACUUACUGUGUGGGCUGCUGGGACAGAGUUAAUUUUCUUCACAGUAGCUGGUACGGGACUGUUUUGGAUUGGUGCUGAAAAUAGGAUUGACAACACAGGAAUGUUUUAGCUAUUGCUGAACAGUUCUUACACAGCAUCAAGACCUUUUCUGCCUCUCACCCCACCCCACCAACGAAGAGGCUGGGGGUGCACAACAGGUUGUGAGGUCAGGACAGCUGACCCCAGCUGUCCAAGGGAUAUCCCAGACCAUAUAGCAUCAUUCUCAGUAUAUAAAGGUGGAAGAAGAAGGAAAUGUGGGAUGAUUUUCAGAAUCAUGGUGUUUGAUUUCCCCAGUCACCAUUACCUGUGAUGGAGCCCUGCUUUCCUGGAGAUAGGUAAACACCUGCCUCCCCAUGGGAAGUGGUGAAUGAAGUCCUUGUUUAGUUUUGCUUGCAUGCAUGGCUUUUAUAUUAUCUAUUGAACUGUCUUUAUCUCAGCCUGUGGGAACCCAGAAUGCAGAGAAUAUUUCUCUGCCUGUUUUGAAGGGUUUUACCCCCCUGGACAGUACUGGUUUUGGCCUUUGUCCAUGGGAAAAUUUGCCUAGCCUCUGGGAAGAAUUUGAAUCUACAAUGGUGUGAAUUAGGUGAUAGAAUACUAUGUGAGAUUAUCA